UACGUAGGUGGCAAGCGUUGUCCGGAAUUAUUGGGCGUAAAGCGCGCGCAGGCGGUCUUUUUAAGUCUGAUGUGAAAGCCCACGGCUCAACCGUGGAAGGUCAUUGGAAACUGGAAGACUUGAGUGCAGAAGAGAAGAGCGGAAUUCCACGUGUAGCGGUGAAAAUGCGUAGAGAUGUGGAGGAACACCAGUGGCGAAGGCGGCUCUUUUGGUCUGUAACUGACGCUGAGGCGCGAAAAGCGUGGGGAGCAAACAGAUGA
rnacentral:rRNA from 1 species